rnacentral:rRNA from 1 species
AUUGAACGCUGGCGGAAUGCUUUACACAUGCAGGUCGAACGAUGAACCUUAGCUUGCUAAGGGGAUUAGUGGCGAACGGGUGAGUAAUGUAUCGGAACGUAUCCAAUAAUGGGGGAUAACUAGUCGAAAGAUUAGCUAAUACCGCAUACGUCCUACGGGAGAAAGCUAGGGACCUUCGGGCCUGGCGUUAAUGGAGCGGCCGAUAUCUGAUUAGCUAGUUGGUGGGGUAAAGGCUCACCAAGGCGACGAUCAGUAGCUGGUCUGAGAGGACGACCAGCCACACUGGAACUGAGACACGGUCCAGACUCCUACGGGAGGCAGCAGUGGGGAAUUUUGGACAACGGGCGAAAGCCUGAUCCAGCCAUUCCGCGUGAGUGAAGAAGGCCUUCGGGUUAUAAAGCUCUUUCGCAAGAGAAGAAAACUUAAGCUCUAACAUAGCUUGAGGUUGACGGUACCUUGAUAAGAAGCACCGGCUAACUACGUGCCAGCCGCCGCAGUAA